rnacentral:rRNA from 1 species
CUGACAUAAGUAACGAUAAAGCGGGUGAAAAGCCCGCUCGCCGGAAGACCAAGGGUUCCUGUCCAACGUUAAUCGGGGCAGGGUGAGUCGACCCCUAAGGCGAGGCCGAAAGGCGUAGUCGAUGGGAAACAGGUUAAUAUUCCUGUACUUGGUGUUACUGCGAAGGGGGGACGGAGAAGGCUAUGUUGGCCGGGCGACGGUUGUCCCGGUUUAAGCGUGUAGGCUGGUUUUCCAGGCAAAUCCGGAAAAUCAAGGCUGAGGCGUGAUGACGAGGCACUACGGUGCUGAAGCAACAAAUGCCCUGCUUCCAGGAAAAGCCUCUAAGCAUCAGGUAACAUCAAAUCGUACCCCAAACCGACACAGGUGGUCAGGUAGAGAAUACCAAGGCGCUUGAGAGAACUCGGGUGAAGGAACUAGGCAAAAUGGUGCCGUAACUUCGGGAGAAGGCACGCUGAUAUGUAGGUGAAGCGACUUGCUCGUGGAGCUGAAAUCAGUCGAAGAUACCAGCUGGCUGCAACUGUUUAUUAAAAACACAGCACUGUGCAAACACGAAAGUGGACGUAUACGGUGUGACGCCUGCCCGGUGC